UGCNGUCGAGCGGANGANGGGAGCUUGCUCCUUGAUUCAGCGGCGGACGGGUGAGUAAUGCCUAGGAAUCUGCCUGGUAGUGGGGGACAACGUUUCGAAAGGAACGCUAAUACCGCAUACGUCCUACGGGAGAAAGCAGGGGACCUUCGGGCCUUGCGCUAUCAGAUGAGCCUAGGUCGGAUUAGCUAGUUGGUGGGGUAAUGGCUCACCAAGGCGACGAUCCGUAACUGGUCUGAGAGGAUGAUCAGUCACACUGGAACUGAGACACGGUCCAGACUCCUACGGGAGGCAGCAGUGGGGAAUAUUGGACAAUGGGCGAAAGCCUGAUCCAGCCAUGCCGCGUGUGUGAAGAAGGUCUUCGGAUUGUAAAGCACUUUAAGUUGGGAGGAAGGGCAGUAAGUUAAUACCUUGCUGUUCUGACGUUACCGACAGAAUAAGCACCGGCUAACUCUGUGCCAGCAGCCGCGGUAAUACAGUGGGUGCAAGCGUUAAUCGGAAUUACUGGGCGUAAAGCGCGCGUAGGUGGUUUGUUAAGUUGGAUGUGAAAGCCCCGGGCUCAACCUGGGAACUGCAUCCAAAACUGGCAAGCUAGAGUACGGUAGAGGGUGGUGGAAUUUCCUGUGUAGCGGUGAAAUGCGUAGAUAUAGGAAGGAACACCAGUGGCGAAGGCGACCACCUGGACUGAUACUGACACUGAGGUGCGAAAGCGUGNGGAGCAAACAGGAUUAGAUACCCUGGUAGUCCACGCCGUAAACGAUGUCAACUAGCCGUUGGAAUCCUUGAGANUUUAGUGGCGCAGCUAACGCAUUAAGUUGACCGCCUGGGGAGUACGGCCGCAAGGNUAAAACUCAAAUGAAUUGACGGGGGCCCGCACAAGCGGUGGANCAUGUGGUUUNAUUCGAAGCAACGCGAAGAA
rnacentral:rRNA from 1 species